rnacentral:rRNA from 1 species
GAUGAACGCUAGCAGCAGGCUUAAUACAUGCAAGUCGAGGGGGCAGCAAUGUCACCGGCGAACGGGUGCGUAACGCGUAUGCAACCUACCUACAUCAGGGGGAUAGCCCUAGGAAACUGGGAUUAACACCGCAUAAUAUAAGCUACGGCAUCGUAACUUAUUGAAAUAUUUAUAGGAUGUAGAUGGGCAUGCGUAGGAUUAGCUAGUUGGUAAGGUAACGGCUUACCAAGGCUACGAUCCUUAGGGGCUCUGAGAGGAGUAUCCCCCACACUGGCACUGGGAUACGGGCCAGACUCCUACGGGAGGCAGCAGUAGGGAAUAUUGGGCAAUGGAGGCAACUCUGACCCAGCCAUGCCGCGUGCAGGAAGACGGUCCUCUGGAUUGUAAACUGCUUUUGAAUGGGAAGAAUGUGCUUCUUGCGAGGAGUAAUGACGGUACCAUUAGAAUAAGCCACGGCUAACUACGUGCCAGCAGCCGCCGUAA